rnacentral:rRNA from 1 species
UACAGAGGGUGCUAGCGUUGUUCGGAAUCAUUGGGGCGUAAAAGGGCGUGUAGGCGGUUUGUUAAGUCAUGUGUGAAAUCCCUCGGCUCAACCGGGGAACGACGCAUGAAACUGGCAGCUAGAGUACCAAAGAGGGGGGUGGAAUUCCCGGUGUAGCGGUGAAAUGCGUAGAUAUCGGGGAGGAACACCUGUGGCGAAGGCGGCCCCCUGGUUGGAUACUGACGCUGAUACGCGAAAGCGUGGGGAGCAAACAGGG